ensembl:lncRNA
GGGGGGGUGGUGAGGGUACCUGUCUGGUACAGGUACCUCCACCACACUCCCCCCUCUCUCCCUGGCCUGUCUCCCCUUGUCUGGUACAGGUACCCCCACCACACUCACCCCUCUCUCCCUGGCCUGUCUGGUACAGGUACCUCCACCACACUCACCCCUCUCUCCCUGGUCUGUCUCCCCCUGUCUGGUACAGGUACCCCCACCACACUCCCCCCUCUCUCCCUGGUCUGUCUCUCCUCCUGCACCCAGGCACUGUUGGGGCGAGUGACUCUGACCUUAAAAUGGCUAGGCCCAAGUACUUAUAUAUUAGAUUUUUUUCUUGUGCAUUUUGCCUCAUGACUCCUGCAUACUUUGUUGACUACAAACUUUCUAUCCCAACCAUGGG